CUGCAUGAAGUUGGAAUCGCUAGUAAUCGCGGAUCAGCAUGCCGCGGUGAAUACGUUCCCGGGCCUUGUACACACCGCCCGUCACACCAUGAGAGCCGGUAAUACCCGAAGUCAGUAUCCUAACCGCAAGGAGGGAGCUGCCGAAGGUAGGAUUGGCGAUUGGGGUGAAGUCGUAACAAGGUAAC
rnacentral:rRNA from 1 species